rnacentral:rRNA from 1 species
AUUGAACGCUGGCGGCAGGCCUAACACAUGCAAGUCGAGCGGAUGAAGGGAGCUUGCUCCUGGAUUCAGCGGCGGACGGGUGAGUAAUGCCUAGGAAUCUGCCUGGUAGUGGGGGAUAACGUCCGGAAACGGGCGCUAAUACCGCAUACGUCCUGAGGGAGAAAGUGGGGGAUCUUCGGACCUCACGCUAUCAGAUGAGCCUAGGUCGGAUUAGCUAGUUGGUGGGGUAAAGGCCUACCAAGGCGACGAUCCGUAACUGGUCUGAGAGGAUGAUCAGUCACACGGGAACUGAGACACGGUCCAGACUCCUACGGGAGGCAGCAGUGGGGAAUAUUGGGCGAUGGGCGAAAGCCUGAUCCAGCCAUGCCGCGUGUGUGAAGAAGGUCUUCGGAUUGUAAAGCACUUUAAGUUGGGAGGAAGGGCAGUAAGUUAAUACCUUGCUGUUUUGACGUUACCAACAGAAUAAGCACCGGCUAACUUCGUG